UUUUUCACUUCGGCAGUACAUAUACUAAAAUUGGAAUGAUACAGAGAAGAUUAACAUGGCCCCUGCUCAAGGAUGACAUGCAAAUUCUGUUUAUUUUU
rnacentral:snRNA from 1 species